rnacentral:rRNA from 1 species
UACAGAGGUCUCAAGCGUUGUUCGGAUUCAUUGGGCGUAAAGGGCGCGUAGGCGGCGGGGUAAGUCGGGUGUGAAAUCUCAGAGCUCAACUCUGAAACUGCACUCGAUGCUGCUCUGCUUGAGGACUGGAGAGGAGACUGGAAUUCACGGUGUAGCAGUGAAAUGCGUAGAUAUCGUGAGGAAGACCAGUGGCGAAGGCGGGUCUCUGGACAGUUCCUGACGCUGAGGCGCGAAGGCCAGGGGAGCAAACGGG